rnacentral:rRNA from 1 species
UGAAUACGAGACGCUAAGGCGUCGAAGUAGUGUAUGUCAUACUUCCAAGAAAAGCUUGCACUGUCAUAGAUAAAAAACGCCUGUACCAUAACCGACACAGGUGGGUAGGUAGAGUAUACUAAGGGGCGCGAGAUAACUCUCUCUAAGGAACUCGGCAAAAUAACUCCGUAACUUCGGGAGAAGGAGUGCCUUAUUCGUAAGGUUGCAAUAACAAGAUCCAAGCAACUGUUUAUCAAAAACACAGGUCUCCGCUAAGUCGUAAGACGAUGUAUGGGGGCUGACGCCUGCCCAGUGCCAGAAGGUUAAAGAAGUUGGUUAGCAAUUGCGAAGCUGAUAACUGAAGCCCUGGUGAACGGCGGCCGUAACGAUAACGGUCCUAAGGUAGCGAAAUUCCUUGUCGGGUAAGUUCCGACCCGCACGAAAGGCGUAAUGAUUUGGAUACUGUCUCGGAGAGGGGCUCGGUGAAAUAGACUUGUCUGUGAAGAUGCGGACUACCUGCACCAGGACAGAAAGACCCUAUGAAGCUUUACUGUAACUUGAAAUUGAAAUUGGACUUUAUUCGCGCAGCAUAGGUGGGAGGCGUUGAUUAUAAUCUUGCGGGAUUAUUGGAGCCAUCAGUGAGAUACCACUCUUGUAAUGUUAGAUUUCUAACUUUGAAUCAUUAUCUGGUCAAAGAACAGUUUCAGGCGGGCAGUUUGACUGGGGCGGUCGCCUCCUAAACGGUAACGGAGGCGUACAAAGGUUUCCUCUGAACGGUUAGAAAUCGUAUCUAGAGUGUAAAGGCAUAAGGAAGCUUGACUGUGAGACCUACAAGUCGAGCAGGGACGAAAGUCGGUCUUAGUGAUCUGACGGUACUGAGUGGAAAGGCCGUCACUCAACGGAUAAAAGUUACUCUAAGGAUAACAGGCUGAUCUCCCCCAAGAGUUCACAUCGACGGGGAGGUUUGGCACCUUGAUGUCGGCUCAUCGCAUCCUGGGGCGGUAGUACGUCCCAAGGGUUGGGCUGUUCGCCCAUGAAAGCGGUACGCGAGCUGGGUUCAGAACGUCGUGAGACAGUUCGGUCCAUAUCCGGUGUAGGCGUUAGAAUAUUGAGAGGAGCCUUCUUUAGUACGAGAGGACCGAGAAGGACAUACCUCUGGUGUACCAGUUAUCGUGCCAACGGUAAACGCUGGGUAGCUAUGUAUGGAGUGGAUAACCGCUGAAAGCAUCUAAGUGGGAAGCCCACCUCAAGAUAAG